rnacentral:rRNA from 1 species
AUUGAACGCUGGCGGCAGGCCUAACACAUGCAAGUCGAGCGGUAACACAGGGAGCUUGCUCCCGGGUGACGAGCGGCGGACGGGUGAGUAAUGUCUGGGAAACUGCCUGAUGGAGGGGGAUAACUACUGGAAACGGUAGCUAAUACCGCAUAACGUCGCAAGACCAAAGAGGGGGACCUUCGGGCCUCUUGCCAUCAGAUGUGCCCAGAUGGGAUUAGCUAGUAGGUGGGGUAAUGGCUCACCUAGGCGACGAUCCCUAGCUGGUCUGAGAGGAUGACCAGCCACACUGGAACUGAGACACGGUCCAGACUCCUACGGGAGGCAGCAGUGGGGAAUAUUGCACAAUGGCGAAAGCCUGAUGCAGCCAUGCCGCGUGUAUGAAGAAGGCCUUCGGGUUGUAAAGUACUUUCAGCGGGAGGAAGGUGUUGAGGUAAUAACCUCAGCAAUUGACGUUACCCGCAGAAGAAGCACCGGCUAACUCCGUGCCAGCAGCCGCGGUAAUACGGAGGGUGCAAGCGUUAAUCGGAAUUACUGGGGCGUAAAGCGCACGCAGGCGGUCUGUCAAGUCGGAUGUGAAAUCCCCGGGCUCAACCGUG